rnacentral:rRNA from 1 species
CGGGAAGAGCUCAAAUUUAAAAUCUGGCAGUGUAUUCUGUCCGAGUUGUAGUCUAGAGAAGCAUCAUCCGUGCUGGACCAUGUACAAGUCUCUUGGAACAGAGCGUCAUAGAGGGUGAGAAUCCCGUCCUUGAC